ACUAUUUUGGCAGAUAAGUGCGGUAAAUUUAGAAUUUACUUAUGUAGUGUUGUUCUACAGGUAGUA
rnacentral:tRNA from 1 species